GAUGAACGCUGGCGGCGUGCUUAACACAUGCAAGUCGAACGGAAAGGCUCCUGCUUGCAGGGGUACUCGAGUGGCGAACGGGUGAGUAACACGUGGAUGAUCUGCCCUGCACUUCGGGAUAAGCCUGGGAAACUGGGUCUAAUACCGGAUAGGACGAUGGUUUGGAUGCCAUUGUGGAAAGUUUUUCGGUGUGGGAUGAGCUCGCGGCCUAUCAGCUUGUUGGUGGGGUAAUGGCCUACCAAGGCGUCGACGGGUAGCCGGCCUGAGAGGGUGUACGGCCACAUUGGGACUGAGAUACGGCCCAGACUCCUACGGGAGGCAGCAGUGGGGAAUAUUGCACAAUGGGCGCAAGCCUGAUGCAGCGACGCCGCGUGGGGGAUGACGGCCUUCGGGUUGUAAACUCCUUUCGCUAGGGACGAAGCGCAAGUGACGGUACCUGGAGAAGAAGCACCGGCUAACUACGUG
rnacentral:rRNA from 1 species